UACGUAGGGUGCAAGCGUUAAUCGGAAUUACUGGGCGUAAAGUGUGCGCAGGCGGUUUUGUAAGUCUGACGUGAAAUCCCCGGGCUUAACCUGGGAAUGGCAUUUGUGACUGGAAGGCUAGAGUGUGUCAGAGGGGGGUAGAAUUCCACGUGUAGCAGUGAAAUGCGUAGAGAUGUGGAGGAAUACCGAUGGCGAAGGCAGCCCCCUGGGAUAACACUGACGCUCAUGCACGAAAGCGUGGGGAGCAAACAGG
rnacentral:rRNA from 1 species